UUCCUGGUCAGACUCAGGGAAGCCAAG
rnacentral:piRNA from 1 species